CUGAAGAAACUCAAACUUCUCUCAACACAAUUGUCAGGAGUUCUGCGUGCACAUCGUGGAGAGCAACAGGACAUGGUGACCUGAUUGGAAGCUCACCUUGCAGUCAUUUUUGCAGGUGACAUCCCUUACUAGUAACUGAAGAAGCCCUUGCAAACCCACCAAAAAGGAGGAG